rnacentral:lncRNA from 1 species
CAACAUGGAUGGAACUAGAGACUCUCAUCCUGAGUGAAAUGAGUCAGAAUGACAAGGACAAAUACCAUAUGAUAUCACUUAUAACUGGAAUCUAAUAUCCAGCACAAAUGAACAUCUCCUCAGAAAAGAAAAUCAUGGACUUGGAGAAUAGACUUGUGGCUGCCUGACAGGAGAGGGAGGGAGUGGGAGGGAUCGGGAGCUUGGGGUUAUCAGAUACAACUUAGAAUAGAUUUACAAGGAGAUCCUGCUGAAUAGCAUUGAGAACUAUGUCCAGAUACUCAUAUUGCAACAGAACAAAGGGUGAGGGGAAAAAAAUAUAUACAUGUAAGAAUAACCUGACCCCCUUGCUGUACAGCGGGAAAAAAUAAAAUUAAAAAAAAAAGUGGGGGGCGCAUUUUCUACAUAUUUGAGAAUUUAAAUUUAAGGAAUUGAAUAAGGAAAGGGUGUUUGCUGUGUUCAGUUUUCAGGGUAAAAGACUGGCAUGCUGUAUUAUUAUAUUGUGCUCAUUGUGUAUACAACCCUGAGCAGUCUGAUUACAGCAUAAUUUAAAAUGAGACACAGAAUAGGGGAAUGCCUUCCCAAGCAGUAUAUACUCUGCUAAGCUCCUUGAAGAGGGAAAGCAACACCCCAGGUUUCCUGACUUUUAAUAGCAGAAACAACAAACUCACCCCCUUAAUACCCCCCAACACCCUCACCCCACGCACAAAUCUGCCAGUCAGUGAUGGAUCACACAUUACCCACUAGGAGGAGCCCAAGGAUUUCUACACACAAACUCCAUUCCCAGCCAGAGGAAAUCUCAAUGAGGUCAAGGGCAUUUGAGGGCUUUAUUGCUAAGUGUGGAGCAAAGAAUGCAAGCAUCUAAAAGGUCAAAAGCACUUGCUAACUUGUGGAAUGUCCUUUCCUUCUGGCUCCUUUUUAAAUCUUUGUAUCUUAAAAAGUGGUGCUCUGAGGUAGUCUGGGCUGGAUUUGCAGGGCUGACAAAAAAGUUAUUCUAGCAAUCGUGUAUUGCAGGAGUUCCCGUCUGGCAUAGCAGAAAUGAAGCCGACUAGGAACCGUGAGGUUGCAGGUUUGAUCCCUGGCCUCGCUCAGUGGGUUAAGGAUCCAGUGUUGCCCUGAGGGUGGUGCAGGUCGCAAACAUGGCUUGGAUCUGGCGUUGCUGUGGCUCUGGUGUAGGCCAGCAGCUGUAGCUCUGAUUAGACCCCCGCCCUGGAAACCUCAAUAUGCGGAGGGUGCAGCCCUAAAAAGCGAAAAAAAAAAAAAAAAAGGACAAUAUUGUAUUGCAUACUUCAAAGGUGCUAGGAGAAUAAAUUCCCGAAGUUCUCAGCA